GCCCUGGUGGUGUAGUCGGUUGCCACAAUUGUCAAGAAAAGCAAGAGUUGCGGGUUUGAUGCCCGCACAUGGCA